GGAGCAUGUGUGUGUGUGUGUGUGUGUGUGUGUGUGUGUGUGUGUGUGUACGCAUACAUGGUGGCCUCCUGGACUGUCCCUCCAGCCCA
rnacentral:miRNA from 1 species